UCCAAAGUCACAAAAUUUGUUGUUCUGCCU
rnacentral:piRNA from 1 species